rnacentral:rRNA from 1 species
AUUGAACGCUGGCGGCAUGCCUAACACAUGCAAGUCGAACGGCAGCACGGGAGCUUGCUCCUGGUGGCGAGUGGCGGACGGGUGAGUAAUGCAUAGGAAUCUGCCCAGUAGCGGGGGACAACUUGGGGAAACUCAAGCUAAUACCGCAUGCGCCCUACGGGGGAAAGCGGGGGACCUUCGGGCCUCGCACUAUUGGAUGAGCCUAUGUCAGAUUAGCUUGUUGGUGGGUAACGGCCUACCAAGGCGACGAUCUGUAGCUGGUCUGAGAGGACGAUCAGCCACACUGGGACUGAGACACGGCCCAGACUCCUACGGGAGGCAGCAGUGGGGAAUAUUGCACAAUGGGCGAAAGCCUGAUGCAGCAAUGCCGCGUGUGUGAAGAAGGCCUGCGGGUUGUAAAGCACUUUCAGUAGGAGGAAACAGUAGCCGGUUAAUAUCCGGUUGCCUUGACGUUACCUACAGAAGAAGCACCGGCUAACU